UACGGAGGGUGCAAACGUUGCUCGGAAUUAUUGGGCGUAAAGCGCACGUAGGCGGACCGACAAGUUGGAUGUGAAAUCCCUCGGCUUAACCGAGGACGUGCAUUCAAAACUGUCGGCCUUGAGUACCAAAGAGGAUCGCGGAAUUCCCGGUGUAGAGGUGAAAUUCGUAGAUAUCGGGAGGAACACCAGUGGCGAAGGCGGCGAUCUGGGUGGAUACUGACGCUGAGGUGCGAAAGCGUGGGGAGCAAACAGG
rnacentral:rRNA from 1 species